UACGUAGGGUGCGAGCGUUGUCCGGAAUUACUGGGCGUAAAGAGCUCGUAGGCGGCUUGUCGCGUCGAAUGUGAAAACUCGGGGCUCAACCCCGCGCUUGCAUUCGAUACGGGCAGGCUCGAGUUCGGUAGGGGAGACUGGAAUUCCUGGUGUAGCGGUGAAAUGCGCAGAUAUCAGGAGGAACACCGGUGGCGAAGGCGGGUCUCUGGGCCGUAACUGGACGCUGAGGAGCGAAAGCGUGGGGAGCGAACAGG
rnacentral:rRNA from 1 species